rnacentral:rRNA from 1 species
AAAACUUUCAGCGACGGAUGUCUUGGCUCCCACAACGAUGAAGAACGCAGCGAAAUGCGAUACGUCUUGCGACUUGCAGAAUCCAGUGAAUCAUCAAAACUUUGAACGCA